rnacentral:rRNA from 1 species
UACGGAGGGUGCAAGCGUUAUCCGGAUUCACUGGGGUGAAAGGGUGCGUAGGUGGUUCUGUAAGUCCGUGGUGAAAUCUCCGAGCUUAACUUGGAAACUGCCAUGGAUACUAUAGAUCUUGAAUACUGUGGAGGUCAGCGGAAUAUGUCAUGUAGCGGUGAAAUGCUUAGAUAUCUGGAGGAAUACCGGUGGCGAAGGCGGCAUCCUGGACCGAGAUUGACACUGAUGAGCGAAAGCUAGGGGAGCAAACGGG